rnacentral:rRNA from 1 species
CAGGCCUAACACAUGCAAGUCGAACGAGAGCCUUCGGGUUCUAGUGGCGCACGGGUGCGUAACGCGUGGGAAUCUGCCCCUUGGUUCGGAAUAACAGCUAGAAAUGGCUGCUAAUACCGGAUGACGACGAGAGUCCAAAGAUUUAUCGCCGAGGGAUGAGCCCGCGUUGGAUUAGGUAGUUGGUGUGGUAAAGGCGCACCAAGCCGACGAUCCAUAGCUGGUCUGAGAGGAUGAUCAGCCACACUGGGACUGAGACACGGCCCAGACUCCUACGGGAGGCAGCAGUGGGGAAUCUUAGACAAUGGGGGCAACCCUGAUCUAGCCAUGCCGCGUGAGUGAUGAAGGCCUUAGGGUUGUAAAGCUCUUUCAGCUGGGAAGAUAAUGACGGUACCAGCAGAAGAAGCCCCGGCUAACUCCGUGCCAGCAGCCGCGGUAAU